GACGAACGCUGGCGGCGUGCUUAACACAUGCAAGUCGAACGGAAAGGCCCUGCUUUUGUGGGGUGCUCGAGUGGCGAACGGGUGAGUAACACGUGAGUAACCUGCCCUUGACUUUGGGAUAACUUCAGGAAACUGGGGCUAAUACCGGAUAGGAGCUCCUGCUGCAUGGUGGGGGUUGGAAAGUUUCGGCGGUUGGGGAUGGACUCGCGGCUUAUCAGCUUGUUGGUGGGGUAGUGGCUUACCAAGGCUUUGACGGGUAGCCGGCCUGAGAGGGUGACCGGCCACAUUGGGACUGCGAUACGGCCCAGACUCCUACUGGAGGCAGCAGUGGGGAAUAUUGCACAAUGGGCGGAAGCCUGAUGCAGCAACGCCGCGUGCGGGAUGACGGCCUUCGGGUUGUAAACCGCUUUCGCCUGUGACGAAGCGUGAGUGACGGUAAUGGGUAAAGAAGCACCGGCUAACUACGUG
rnacentral:rRNA from 1 species